CAGCAGCCACGGUAAUACGUAGGGUGCAAGCGUUAAUCGGAAUUACUGGGCGUAAAGCGUGCGCAGGCGGUCCGCUAAGACAGAUGUGAAAUCCCCGGGCUUAACCUGGGAACUGCAUUUGUGACUGGCGGGCUAGAGUAUGGCAGAGGGGGGUAGAAUUCCACGUGUAGCAGUGAAAUGCGUAGAGAUGUGGAGGAAUACCGAUGGCGAAGGCAGCCCCCUGGGCCAAUACUGACGCUCAUGCACGAAAGCGUGGGGAGCAAACAGGAUUAGAUACCCGCGUAGUCCCUGUCUCUUAUAA
rnacentral:rRNA from 1 species